rnacentral:rRNA from 1 species
CCUGAUGCAGCCAUGCCGCGUGUGUGAAGAAGGCCUUCGGGUUGUAAAGCACUUUCAGCGAGGAGGAAGGGAUAGGCGUUAAUAGCGGCUAUUUUUGACGUUACUCGCAGAAGAAGCACCGGCUAACUUCGUGCCAGCAGCCGCGGUAAUACGGAGGGUGCAAGCGUUAAUCGGAAUAACUGGGCGUAAAGGGCACGCAGGCGGCUAUUUAAGUGAGGUGUGAAAUCCCCGGGCUUAACCUGGGAAUUGCAUUUCAGACUGGGUAGCUAGAGUACUUUAGGGAGGGGUAGAAUUCCACGUGUAGCGGUGAAAUGCGUAGAGAUGUGGAGGAACACCGAUGGCGAAGGCAGCCCCCUGGGUCAAGAUUGACGCUCAUGCACGAAAGCGUGGGGAGCAAACAGGA